UUUGAUCCUGGCUCAGAGUGAACGCUGGCGGUAGGCCUAACACAUGCAAGUCGAACGGCAGCACAGAGGAGCUUGCUCCUUGGGUGGCGAGUGGCGGACGGGUGAGGAAUACAUCGGAAUCUACCCUGUCGUGGGGGAUAACGUAGGGAAACUUACGCUAAUACCGCAUACGACCUACGGGUGAAAGCAGGGGAUCUUCGGACCUUGCGCGAUUGAAUGAGCCGAUGUCGGAUUAGCUAGUUGGCGGGGUAAAGGCCCACCAAGGCGACGAUCCGUAGCUGGUCUGAGAGGAUGAUCAGCCACACUGGAACUGAGACACGGUCCAGACUCCUACGGGAGGCAGCAGUGGGGAAUAUUGGACAAUGGCCGCAAGCCUGAUCCAGCCAUACCGCGUGGGUGAAGAAGGCCUUCGGGUUGUAAAGCCCUUUUGUUGGGAAAGAAAUCCAGCUGGCUAACACCCGGUUGGGAUGACGGUACCCAAAGAAUAAGCACCGGCUAACUUCGUGCCAGCAGCCGCGGUAAUACGAAGGGUGCAAGCGUUACUCGGAAUUACUGGGCGUAAAGCGUGCGUAGGUGGUCGUUUAAGUCCGUUGUGAAAGCCCUGGGCUCAACCUGGGAACUGCAGUGGAUACUGGGCGACUAGAGUGUGGUAGAGGGUAGCGGAAUUCCUGGUGUAGCAGUGAAAUGCGUAGAGAUCGGGAGGAACAUCCAUGGCGAAGGCAGCUACCUGGACCAACACUGACACUGAGGC
rnacentral:rRNA from 1 species